GUGAGUCAUCGAAUCUUUGAACGCACAUUGCGCCCUCCAGCAUCCUGGAGGGCAUGCCUGUUCGAGCGUCACUACAACACUCAAGCUCUGCUUGGCGUUGGGGCACUAAGGCAAUUCCAUGCCAUAGGCCCCGAAAAUCAUUGGCGGGACUGCAGAGGAACCCGGACGAAGUAGCGAUUACAGCGUCUAGGGAUGCCGAGCAGGUUCUAGCCGGAAAACCAGAAGCCCCUGCGGGCUGAUAGUAACAUGUUGACCUCGGAUCAGGUAGGAAUACCCGCUGAACUUAAGCAUAUCAAUAAGCGGAGGA
rnacentral:misc_RNA from 1 species